GGAUUAGAUACCCUGGUAGUCCACGCUGUAAACGAUGUCUACUUGGAGGUUGGGGUCUUGAAUUCUGGCUUUCGAAGCUAACGCGUUAAGUAGACCGCCUGGGGAGUACGGUCGCAAGAUUAAAACUCAAAUGAAUUGACGGGGGCCCGCACAAGCGGUGGAGCAUGUGGUUUAAUUCGAUGCAACGCGAAGAACCUUACCUACUCUUGACAUCCAGAGAAGCUUGAAGAGAUUCGAGUGUGCCUUCGGGAACUCUGAGACAGGUGCUGCAUGGCUGUCGUCAGCUCGUGUCG
rnacentral:rRNA from 1 species